CUGACAUUAGAAUUUAUUUUGUAACUGGACUGUCUACUCCCCUUAUCAUUUAGGAAUGCCAAUGAAUCCUGCCAUGGCUGGCUAUGCUUCCACACCAAUGAUGCCAAACAUGAUGCCUACUAUGCCCAUGAUGCAACCCAUGCAACGUAAGCAUCCUGCUGAUGUUGUGCUUCUCUGAUAGCAUAAACUGUUAAAUUCUUACCCUCUUCCUACUGCUUGUUUCGGCUGUAGCUAUGAUGAUGCCAACUGCCAUGCCACAAGCCAUGCCUGCUGCAACUCCGGCUGUCAACUCACAGCAAAUGGCUGCUCAGCAGCAGGCCUUUAUCAAUCAACAGGCUCUGCUUCUGGCUCAGCAGAUGACAAUGCAGGCGAUGACACUGUCCCAGAAACAGCAGCAGGAAGAGAUGCGAAAACGCGAGAAAGAGUCAAAGAGACAGUCACCACGUCAGCGGCGGCGCUCUCCUCCACGUGCACGUUCACCUUCACUCUCACCCUCACCCAGACCCCGAAGCCGCCCCCAGGAACAAAGAACCGUUCCUCAGACCCCCAAAAAAGCCCCAGAGGCCCUUCCAAAGCCCCGCGGUCCAGAGGCACAGCCUGAGGCAGAGGUGGAUCUCAGGGCCCCAGAAGAUCAAGGGUCCUUUCAGGAGAAGAGGACUUUUUUUCAAAAGAUGGAAGCACGCCCAAAGUCUGCGCCAAAGGUUGCUAAGCCACUGAUAUACGCCUCUCCGCCGGAGGUGACCCAACC
rnacentral:lncRNA from 1 species